rnacentral:lncRNA from 10 species
AUACAAUGUAUAAUGAUCAAAUCUGAUAACUGAACUAACCAUCAGUUCAAACACUUAUCAUUUCUUUGUGUUGGCAAUAUUCCAAACCUAUUAUUCCAGUUAUUUUGAAAUUUACAAUAAAUGAUUGUUAACUAUAGAUGCGCUAUUGUGUUACCAAACACUAGAUCUUAUUAUUGCUAUGCAAAUGUAUUUUUCUACCAAUUAGUGAAACCCACUUUACCCUUCCAACCCUCUGGUAACCAUCAUGCUAUUCACUGCCUCCAUGAGAUCAAUUUCUUUUUUUAGUUCCCACAUAUGAGAAGAUGCAACACUUGUCUUUCUGUGCCUGGUUUAUUACACUUAACAUAAUAUCCUCCAGUUCCAUCCAUGUUAUUGCAAAUGACAGAAUUUCAUUCAUUUUGAUGGCAAAAUAAUAUUCCAUCGUGUAUACACACCACAUUUUCUUGAUCCAUUUACUUAUGUGAAUAUGUGAAUAUGAGCUAGAACUCAUAUCCCAUAUCUGCAAUAAACAUGAGAGGCCAGAUAGUUCUUCAAUAGGCAAAUUUUAAUAUCCCUUUAUUUGGGAUAUUGUGUGAUUAUAUUUUAAUCUUGCUAACCACUUUUAUAAUUAUACCAGUCAAGAAUAAUGAGGUAAUACAAUUUUAAGUUUUAAAGCAUAAGCCUGAGAUCAGGGAGAUAUUAAUCCCAUGUGAUUUUACUCAAAGCCAGAACAAAUAGCCAAUACUAAAAUCUAAAUGUGAAACAGUACAAAAACUAUCAGAAAAAUAUCAUUAUUGAAUACAUUUUAUAGUAAAAUCCCUUCAGUGUCCGUUUUUUAGCUUGUGUUUCAUUUUAACUUAAAUGCCUAUAUUUUCCUAUGUAAUAUUUUAAAUGUUUCUUGUCUUUAAAUUCAACCUUUAGAAUAGAAAAGUUACUUAAUAGAAGCUUAUCUUUGAUACAUUUAGAAAGAAGCUUUAAAAUUAACUUCUGCUCAAUAUAGUGUUCACCUCUAGGAGCAACUUCAUAAAGCAACAGCCUGAGCAUUGCCAAAUCACAGGAGCAAUGAAUAGAGUUAUCCGGGCCACUCACAAUGAGAAAUGUGAUGGAAGAACUGAGGAAUGAAGCACAUUUAAAACAUACUUUCAACUUUCAGGAGACAUCAACACAGAGAAAAAGUUCAGAAUAAACUGGGUGGAUAUGAGAAGGUAUCUUUUGAGAACAUAAAUACGUUUUACUUUCCGUUAAUCCUUUCUGCCUUAAUUUUUGUGGUUCAUAAAGUGAACUAUUAUGUUCAGAGUUUGUAAAAUGAGUGAUCUGAAAAGAAACUUAAAGAAUUCUCACUCAAACCCCAAGUUUAUGGUAGAUCCAGUGUAAAAUCCAUGUUUCCUUCAACUAAUCUGAUUUUCUAUUCAUUAUCUUAUAUUGUUUCACUGCUUAUCAUCAGUUAGGAAUUUUUUCAAAAAUUACAAUCUUCCACUAAUUAGUUUUGUGAUGUGAUCAAGUCACUUUAUCUCUCAAAGUCUUCUUGUUAACAUCUGCAAAAUGAGGAAACAUGCCUUCCAGCUAUCACAUUGUCUAUUUUUAUGUCCCCCUCAUUAUUAAUUACCAAAAAAAUGAGAAAAUGAUUUUAAUGUAAAGCAUUCAGGAGCACAUAAAAC